UAUUGGGCCCAACCCUAUCUUUACCCCGGGGCAUCUGAUACCAAUAGAAUGGUUGUGCCUUUCCGAUGCAAUCGAACCAUUGUAAUCAGUCGAGAAUGAUCAACAUCGAAAAAGGCACCCGCAUCUCUAUAAUGGUGGAAGACCAGUAGACUUAAUAUUUAGUGAGGAGAUUUGAAUUCAGGUCUCUUCUAAUUAGUCACAUACAUCUAAUGUAAUGACUAAUAUGGUUUGGGUCAGCAUAUUUUAUGUCUAACCAACC
rnacentral:lncRNA from 1 species